ACCCUCUUUAUUUUACAGAUACAGCUUCUGAGGAUCACGGGGAUGAAAGGCAUGAACUGGGCUCACACAGCUACUCCUUCCCAUUUAUGAGAGAGCCACAUGACAUCAGCCCAUAGACUGUGGAGAGUAUUCCAGAUCUAUCACAUUCUGCGAUUCUGCGAUUCCCAGAAGGCUGGUCAUGAAAAAAUUCCCUCUUCAGUUUACAUAUAUGGCAGUGGCACUUCUAGAUAUCUGUUGAGGCCUGGAAGGGGCAAAACAAUUCAGGAAGCAGUUGAAGAUAAAGGGGUUUACCAUGGAAGAGAAGAUCCAGGUGCCUUCAUGGAAAUGCUUGUGGUUGAAAAGAGAUGAAGAUGAGGGUCCCUGGAAAGAGGAAGAACCAGCCAGGAAAAUUAUACCAUUAGCAAGACUGGCAUCAGCAAGUAGUUCGCAGUGUUGGUUGUUCUUGGUUUCGCAGGAUUUUAUAGGAGUUCUGAACACUGGGAAGUCCAAGAGCAAGGCAACAACAGAUUCAACAUCUGAUGGACCUUCUCCUAAAAGUCUUAUCUUCUAAGUCUCCUAAGUCUUGGACUUUUCAAGGCCAAAGAUUUAAAGGCCAAGUGGACCAUACGGGAGAUCUAGUUUCCCAUCCAGACAGCCAAGCUCAUGCAUCCCUGGAUUUGGAUGGAUGGUUUCCCAUGGGGCCUUGGACAGAUUGGACCCAGCACUGGCACAGGGUUGACUUGGAGGAAUAAGCUCCUGGAAACCUCAAUUAGCGUUUGGGGUAUGAACAUUAAACAAUACUGAAUCUGGAAACAAUACAUCACACAGCGGGUCCAAGGAAAUAAGCAGAAGGCUGGCAGCAGGCCAGGGCCAGGGGCCAAAUCGCUCCUCAAAGACAAUUCUUCAUGGAGAAAUGACAGCAGGUUUGAGGACAGCAGAAUUUCGCUCUUGUUGCCCAGGGCUGGAGUGCAAUGGUGCAAUCUCGGCUCACCACAACCACUGCCUCCUGGGUUCAAGCGAUUCUCCUGCCUCAGCCUCCUGAGUAGCUGGGAUUACAGGAAGUACAAAAACAUCCUUGCCGUUUGCUGGAAUGAUGUACUGCUGAAGGCAAUGGACACUGGGGUUGUUUGUCCCUAAUCACAAGUGAGCAAUACCAGAUCUAUUAUCUCAGGUUCAGAGAAGUGAGGUGUCUGACCUUCAGACAGGAUUGAAUGCAGAGUAAAAUAAUUCCAAAUAUGGUCUGGGCAUUGCAUGUAAUACAGAGUAAAAGUUAUUGUAAGACACUUUCGCCAGUUUCUGUCACUUGGUUCCUCAAAUGUUUAGUUCAUUCUAAUUACAUAAUCAGCCUUCUGAUUCAAUGAAGACUGAUGGGAUUGCUGACUUGCCACCCUGGAGUUCAGUUGGCAGCAAGUGAGGGAAAAGGUGAACUCUGUAAACAAGGUUUAGAAGCCCUUUUCUUAACUCUUUAUAAAACAGAGAAGAUGAGGAAGGAGAAAGGCACUGUCAUUAAGCUCUUAGCCAGGGAAUUACACAUACACACACGUGUGUGUGUGUGUAUUUCAACUCAAUGUACAAGGACUUCUCAGCCCAUAGCUACUUUGAACACAUUGUUUAUCCCCCAUAGCAUGAAGGACUAAAGGAACCAGAGAUUUCAUAAUCUCUGGCCUGUAACGUUUUUGCUGAAAUAUCUGCUGUUAUUCUAAUGGGGUUUCCUUUAAAGGUGACUAGUCACUCUUCUUUUGCUAAUUAAUUUUUUUUUUCACUUUGACUUUAGACAUUCUGAAUAUAAUAUGCUAUGAUGAAGCACUUUAUGCAAUGUAUAUUCCUGAGGAUUGCUGGGCCUCCUGUAACUAGAUGUCUGACUCUCUUGCUAGAUGUGGAAAGUUUUCAUCAAUUAUUUUCUUAAACAGGUUUUCUAAGCUUUUAAAUAAUCUUUCUUUCCCAUCAGGAAUACCAAUAAUUUCUAAUUUCAGUCACUUUAUGUAGUCCCAGACAUCUCAAAGGCUUUGUGCACUCCCUUUUAUACUUUUUUGUUGUCGUUAUCUUUGUCUUACUGGAUUAUUUCAAAAGACUUAUCUUCAAGUUCUGAGAUUCUUUCUUCUGCUUGAUCUAUUCUGUUAUUGAAGCUUUCAAAUACAUUUUGCAUUUCCUUCAAUAGUUUUUUUAGGUUUAGAUUUUCUGCUUUUGCUUUAUAAGAUACCCAUCUCCUUGAUACAUUUCUCAUUAAUAUCCUGAGUUAAUUUUCUAAUUUCUUGAAGUUGGCCCAAGGGUGGAAUGCAGCCCCGUGUUAAACUCUCAAAACUGUGCCUUGGGCCUGUGACCAGACAGAGCAGAUUUCUUCUCAAGUAAGUAGCAUAGAAAAGAGAGAUCCAAAUAAACACAAUCAUAAAUGAAAAAGGAGACAUUAUAGCUGAUAACACAGAGGCACAAAGAUCAUCAGAGACUAUUAUAAAUAACUAUAUGAUCACAAACC
rnacentral:lncRNA from 1 species